AACGAACGCUGGCGGCAUGCCUAACACAUGCAAGUCGAACGAGACCUUCGGGUCUAGUGGCGCACGGGUGCGUAACGCGUGGGAAUCUGCCCUUCGGUUGGGAAUAACUGAGAGAAAUUUCAGCUAAUACCUUAUAAUGUCUUCGGACCAAAGAUUUAUCGCCGAGGGAUGAGCCCGCGUAGGAUUAGGUAGUUGGUGGGGUAAUGGCCUACCAAGCCGACGAUCCUUAGCUGGUCUGAGAGGAUGAUCAGCCACACUGGGACUGAGACACGGCCCAGACUCCUACGGGAGGCAGCAGUGGGGAAUAUUGGACAAUGGGCGAAAGCCUGAUCCAGCAAUGCCGCGUGAGUGAUGAAGGCCUUAGGGUUGUAAAGCUCUUUUACCCGGGAUGAUAAUGACAGUACCGGGAGAAUAAGCUCCGGCUAACUCCGUG
rnacentral:rRNA from 1 species